rnacentral:lncRNA from 1 species
UUAAACGGAAAACUAGACGAGUGUUGCAUACGGUGAGAAAUUGCACCGAACGCCUGGCUCCCCGAAGAAUUUCCGUCGAACGGAAGGCGGCUCCGAGUAUGCAAAUGAACUUUUUGCGAUCACGUGAAUCGUCAAUCGUAAUAGAUCUACGUUAGAUGGCAGGAAAAAGAAAAAGAUUUGUUAGCAAAAGAGACGACAUGAACGAUUGAAAAAAGAUACGUAAAUUCAAUUUAAAAAAUUAUUCUUGAAAAUUAUACGAAGUUCUUUCUUUGCGUUAUGGGAUAAAGGAAUCAUUCAAUGGAUGCUUGUUCAAGGAGUUAUUUUUUGCUUUUAAACUCCCACGAUAUCUAGAUUAACUUGAAUAAAGUUUACGGUGAUGACGCGCGGAGUGAAGAGCGCGUAGUUUCUAAGUACGAGAUACAGUCGCAAUUCAUCGUUCGAAAGUUUCACAGAAGGGGGUGGAGAAAUAAGUAGAAGCUGCGAAUAAAAUCGGAACGA